rnacentral:rRNA from 1 species
AUGCAUUCAAAGAGUGCGUAACAGCUCACUGGUCGAGUGGACAUGCGCCGACAAUUCACGGGGCUAAGCGAUGCGCCGAAGCGGCGGAAUGUAUAUACAUUGGUAGGGGAGCUUCCCCUGCGCGGCGAAGCCGGAGGGCGACCGACGGUGGAGCGCAGGGGAGUGAGGAUGCUGGCAUGAGUAACGAGAGCGGCGCGGGAAACGCCGCCGCCGUAAGCCCAAGGUUUCCUGGGCAAGGCUAAUCCUCCCAGGGUCAGUCGGGAGCUAAGGCGAGGCCGGAAGGCGUAGCCGAUGCGCAACAGGCGGACAUUCCUGUACCGCCUCGGGACCGCUACGACCGAAGGGGCGACGGAGAAGGGUACGCAGGCGGGGUUCUGGACGCCCCCGUGAAAGCAUGUAGGCCGCAGGGCAGGCAAAUCCGCCCUGCGCACAAGGCCGAGACGCGAGACGAAGCCGCAAGGCGAAGCUGCGGAGCCCACGCUCCCUGGAAAAACCCCUAGGCAGGGCCCGAGGCGCCCGUACCAAAACCGACACAGGUGGGCGGGUAGAGCAUACCGAGGCGAUCGGGGGAACCAUGGUCAAGGAACUCGGCAUAAUCGCUCCGUAACUUCGGGAGAAGGAGUGCCGCUGCAGGUGGAGGGACGAGCUCCCCGAGCCCGCGGCGGCCGCAGCGAAACGGCCCAAGCGACUGUUUACCAAAAACACAGGACUCUGCCAACCCGCGAGGGGAAGUAUAGGGUCUGACGCCUGCCCGGUGCCGGAAGGUUACGCGGAUGCGUUAGCGUAAAGCGAAGCGCUGAAGCCAAGCCCCGGUAAACGGCGGCCGUAACUAUAACGGUCCUAAGGUAGCGAAAUUCCUUGUCGGGUAAGUUCCGACCUGCACGAACGGCGUAACGACUUGGGCGCUGUCUCGACCAUGGACCCGGUGAAAUUGCACUAUUCGUGAAGAUGCGAAUUACCUGCGGAAGGACGGAAAGACCCCGUGAACCUUCACUGCAGCUUGGCAUUGGCCGUUGGCUCGGCGCGUAGAGGAUAGGCAGGAGGCUUGGAAACCGGGGCGCCAGCCCCGGCGGAGCCGCCCUUGGAAUACUGCCCCCUCCGUUCCGGCGGCCUAACGCGGCGCCUUAUAUCAGGGCCGCGGACCGUGCCAGGCGGGUAGUUUGACUGGGGCGGUCGCCUCCCAAAGAGUAACGGAGGCGCGCAAAGGUUGGCUCAGGACGGUCGGCAACCGUCCCGAGAGCGCAAGAGUGCAAGCCAGCUUGACUGCGAGGCGGACGGGCCGAGCAGGUGCGAAAGCAGGCUCUAGUGAUCCGGCGGCCCAGAGUGGAAUGGCCGUCGCUCAACGGAUAAAAGGUACUCCGGGGAUAACAGGCUGAUCUUGCCCAAGAGUCCACAUCGACGGCAAGGUUUGGCACCUCGAUGUCGGCUCAUCGCAUCCUGGGGCUGUAGCAGGUCCCAAGGGUUGGGCUGUUCGCCCAUUAAAGCGGUACGCGAGCUGGGUUCAGAACGUCGUGAGACAGUUCGGUCCCUAUCCUCCGUGGGCGCAAGAGAAUUGAGAGGAUCUGUCCCUAGUACGAGAGGACCGGGAUGGACGCACCUCUGGUGCCGCAGUUGUCGACCAACGGCACAGCUGCCUAGCUACGUGCGGAACGGAUAACCGCUGAAAGCAUCUAAGCGGGAAGCCGGCCUCGAGAUGAGUUCUCUCUUCGGUAAGGCCACUUGUAGACCACAAGUUCGAUAGGCCGCAGCUGCAAGCCCCGCGAGGGGCUCAGGCGAGCGGUACUAAUCGGCCGAGCUCUUCAUCU